rnacentral:rRNA from 1 species
AUUGAACGCUGGCGGCAUGCUUUACACAUGCAAGUCGAACGGUAACAGGCCGCAAGGUGCUGACGAGUGGCGAACGGGUGAGUAAUGCAUCGGAACGUGCCCAGUCGUGGGGGAUAACUACUCGAAAGAGUAGCUAAUACCGCAUACGAUCUAUGGAUGAAAGCGGGGGACCGUAAGGCCUCGCGCGAUUGGAUCGGCCGAUGUCAGAUUAGGUAGUUGGUGGGGUAAAGGCUCACCAAGCCAACGAUCUGUAGCUGGUCUGAGAGGACGACCAGCCACACUGGGACUGAGACACGGCCCAGACUCCUACGGGAGGCAGCAGUGGGGAAUUUUGGACAAUGGGCGCAAGCCUGAUCCAGCAAUGCCGCGUGCAGGAAGAAGGCCUUCGGGUUGUAAACUGCUUUUGUACGGAACGAAACGGCUCUGGUUAAUACCCGGGGCUAAUGACGGUACCGUAAGAAUAAGCACCGGCUAACUACGUG